AGAAACUGUAGGAGAAUUUUGAGACUCCCCAUGAGUGUGAUGACGUCACAUGUUAAAGUUUUUUUGUUAAAGGGUAUUCCUGUCAAUGUUGAUCAGACUGUUUCCUCCAAACUCUCAAUGCUUCAUGAUAAAAAUUAUAUACACUCAUAUAUCACAUGUAUAACUAUAUACUAAUAUAAUCAAUAUGUAAUCCAGUAACUCUAUAUCAGUAGUUGCAGCAAAGCUUAUGGAAACGCAAGAAACCACAGUAUCCACUGUAGAAAAAAGGCAAACGCAGAAGGCUUAAAAAAACCAUACUUACUCAGCAGAAAAUUAGUGCCAACUAGAUAUGCUAGAAAAGUAAUACUUUACAGUGAUCCAUGUGUAACCUGAAUAAAGUAAAAAAGGUACAGGAGGCUAUAACUCUGUGAACUUGUAUGUAUAAUGGAAAAAUACAGAAAGUAAUGACGUGUAUGCAUAGUGAAAAAGUACAGAGUAAGGGAAAAUUGGAAAAAUACAGACAGCAAUGACGUGGCGUAUGCGUAAGUGGGAAAGUACAAAGUAAGGGAAAAUUGGGGUACCUGUCCACUGAUGAAGAUUAAUUAAGAACAUCAAUAGACUAAUUAAAGACAUCAAUAGAACUAAAAAUCAGUUCAGUUGGGGCACCUGUCCACUAUGAUAAGAAUAAUUACUGAUACAUUAAGAACAUCAUAAGGACCGAAAAUCAUCUUUAUGCCAAAAAGGUCAAGUUAACCCACGAACAGGAAAGUGAAACUCCUUACUGUGCCAGAAAAGACCAGAUGGCUGAUAUUUUUAGAAAUGUGUUAAAGGGGGGUUGUGGGCACAAAUUGUGUAUAAAAUGUAUGCAAAACUGACAAUCGAGGUUCAAUUCCCCUGAAUUGAUCCGGCUUUGUGCACCUGUGCAAUAAAGUCUAAACUUUCUGAAGAGCUUGCUGCUGUUGUGUCUUUUCCCUCCUGAAAUUGUUUUCUACAGAUUGGCGAUUGGCGUGGAACUCUGUCGUUUCCUAGACACGACAUUUGGGGGCUCGUCCGGGAUACGAAAAAGGUACCAUCCUUUCGUAAAACCAACCCGGACACUAACACCGAAAAUUGAGUGAAAGAAAAGCAGCGAGCUCUUCAGAAACGUGCGCUACGAACCGUGAGUGAAUUGAGUGCGGUAUAAGAACAGGACAAUAUAUGUUUGUGUGUUGCAAAAUGUGCUGAAACUAGGAUAAGUGUUUAAAUGCAUUGUGGCUGCUGAAGGUUUUCGCUGUUGCUGUUGUUUGUUGCAAAAUGUGCUGGUUUUCACUGUUGCUGUUGUUUUGUUGCAAAAUGUGCUGUAACUAGGAAUAAUAUUUGAAUAUAUUUUUGCUGCUGAAGGUUUACACUGUUGCUGUUGUUUUAAAAAAAGAGGUGCCAGAGACUUGGGAGGAGAGAAACCCAAGAAAGGCCACCUGCAAUAGCUCUGGUAAACGCGUGUUUAGGAAAAACACUGUCCUCUGAGGUAUAAAAUACAAAAGAACAGUGCAUAAGGGGGGCAAAGGGGGGACACAAGGUGUCCAGGAAGAAGCUGCAGCUCUGCUCUCAGAAGACGGGGAGAGCGGAGGGACUGCGGGCGCUGACACCAGCCCAGGGAGCAACAGCACCAACAGUGCCCCUACGGGUCCAGUGCGAGAAUCGCAGGCCGGCUUUCCAGUGGAGUGACGCGCAGACCGCGUACUCUGGAUUGGAAGAUAUACCAGGAACCUACCACCUAUGAGGACUGCAGCAACACAUCGUGCUACGAAUCAACGUGUUAAGAAAUUGUGUUUAAUAACUUUGUUGGGUCAUUUAGAAUAAUAUAUACAGCUUUGAUAUGUAUAAUCAAUUUUUUGCGACUAGAGAGAGUGUUGGAGGAACCAUGGGAACAACGUUACAUUGAGGAAUCUGAUACAUUUGGAUGCUGCUAUGGCAGCAGGGGAUGCGCAGGCACCCAACAUAAUAUACAUGGGGUAGUGCACACCCGACACUGACUGACGCUGAGAAUAAGAAUACAGCGAGGGGUGUUUUUCGGGGCCAUGAGGUUUGACCCCGAAAGGGGGGAAUGUAGGAGAAUUUUGAGACUCCCCAUGAGUGUGAUGACGUCACAUGUUAAAGUUUUUUUGUUAAAGGGUAUUCCUGUCAAUGUUGAUCAGACUGUUUCCUCCAAACUCUCAAUGCUUCAUGAUAAAAAUUAUAUACACUCAUAUAUCACAUGUAUAACUAUAUACUAAUAUAAUCAAUAUGUAAUCCAGUAACUCUAUAUCAGUAGUUGCAGCAAAGCUUAUGGAAACGCAAGAAACCACAGUAUCCACUGUAGAAAAAAGGCAAACGCAGAAGGCUUAAAAAAACCAUACUUACUCAGCAGAAAAUUAGUGCCAACUAGAUAUGCUAGAAAAGUAAUACUUUACAGUGAUCCAUGUGUAACCUGAAUAAAGUAAAAAAGGUACAGGAGGCUAUAACUCUGUGAACUUGUAUGUAUAAUGGAAAAAUACAGAAAGUAAUGACGUGUAUGCAUAGUGAAAAGUACAGAGUAAGGGAAAAUUGGAAAAAUACAGACAGCAAUGACGUGGCGUAUGCGUAAGUGGGAAAGUACAAAGUAAGGGAAAAUUGGGGUACCUGUCCACUGAUGAAGAUUAAUUAAGAACAUCAAUAGACUAAUUAAAGACAUCAAUAGAACUAAAAAUCAGUUCAGUUGGGGCACCUGUCCACUAUGAUAAGAAUAAUUACUGAUACAUUAAGAACAUCAUAAGGACCGAAAAUCAUCUUUAUGCCAAAAAGGUCAAGUUAACCCACGAACAGGAAAGUGAAACUCCUUACUGUGCCAGAAAAGACCAGAUGGCUGAUAUUUUUAGAAAUGUGUUAAAGGGGGGUUGUGGGCACAAAUUGUGUAUAAAAUGUAUGCAAAACUGACAAUCGAGGUUCAAUUCCCCUGAAUUGAUCCGGCUUUGUGCACCUGUGCAAUAAAGUCUAAACUUUCUGAA